rnacentral:rRNA from 1 species
CCUACGGGUGGCAGCAGUGGGGAAUAUUGGACAAUGGGCGAAAGCCUGAUCCAGCCAUGCCGCGUGUGUGAAGAAGGCCUUCGGGUUGUAAAGCACUUUCAGUGGGGAAGAAAGCCUUGGGGCUAAUACCCUCGAGGAAGGACAUCACCCACAGAAGAAGCACCGGCUAACUCCGUGCCAGCAGCCGCGGUAAUACGGAGGGUGCGAGCGUUAAUCGGAAUUACUGGGCGUAAAGCGCGCGUAGGCGGUCUGAUAAGCCGGUUGUGAAAGCCCCGGGCUCAACCUGGGAACGGCAUCCGGAACUGUCAGGCUAGAGUGCAGGGGAGGAAGGUAGAAUUCCCGGUGUAGCGGUGAAAUGCGUAGAGAUCGGGAGGAAUACCAGUGGCGAAGGCGGCCUUCUGGACUGACACUGACGCUGAGGUGCGAAAGCGUGGGUAGCAAACAGGAUUAGAUACCCCAGUAGUC